rnacentral:rRNA from 1 species
GACGAACGCUGGCGGCGUGCCUAAUACAUGCAAGUUGAGCGCUGAAGGUUGGUACUUGUACCAACUGGAUGAGCAGCGAACGGGUGAGUAACGCGUGGGGAAUCUGCCUUUGAGCGGGGGACAACAUUUGGGAACGAAUGCUAAUACCGCAUAAAAACUUUAAACACAAGUUUUAAGUUUGAAAGAUGCAAUUGCAUCACUCAAAGAUGAUCCCGCGUUGUAUUAGCUAGUUGGUGAGGUAAAGGCUCACCAAGGCGAUGAUACAUAGCCGACCUGAGAGGGUGAUCGGCCACAUUGGGACUGAGACACGGCCCAAACUCCUACGGGAGGCAGCAGUAGGGAAUCUUCGGCAAUGGACGCAAGUCUGACCGAGCAACGCCGCGUGAGUGAAGAAGGUUUUCGGAUCGUAAAACUCUGUUGGUAGAGAAGAACGUUGGUGAGAGUGGAAAGCUCAUCAAGUGACGGUAACUACCCAGAAAGGGACGGCUAACUACGUG